rnacentral:tRNA from 1 species
GGCUCUGUAGCUCAGUUGGUAGAGCAGAGGCCUGAAGAGCCUUGUGUCGACGGUUCAAGUCCGCCCGGAGCCACCA